GGGAGGGCUGUGAGGGCGACCCGGGAGGGCCCGGAUUAGGAAAAGGAGCGCGACUUUGUGGUGGGGCUGGAAAAGGAAGUCGAACUGGGAAUGGCCGGGGGGAGGAGCGCGGCCCAACCAAGAAAACUAUACGAAUUUCUAAAAAUUGUAUAUGCCUGACACAAAGACCUAUGAAGAAUUAGGCAAGACUUAUGGGUUUCAAGUUGGACAUAUACUUCAAAAUCCCAUGGAAAUUCACAAGGCAUAAAACCCUCUUCAAAUAAUAAGAUACAAGACAGCUCUCACUGAAUACUGAAAGCUAGGGUUGG
rnacentral:lncRNA from 1 species